rnacentral:lncRNA from 1 species
ACAUGGUGGCUCACAACCAUCUGUGAUGGGAUCUGAUGCCCUCUUCUGGUGUGUCUGAAGACAGUCACAGUGUACUCAUAUAAAUAAAAUAAAUCUUCCUUUUAAAAGUGAAAACAGAAGCCAGGGAGGCAGAGGCAGGCGGAUCUAGAGUUCAAGGCCAGCCUGGUCUACUGAGUGAGUGACCAGGGCUAUACAGAGAAACCCUGUCUCAAAAAACAAAACAAAACAAAAACAAAAAAACCCUCAAAUGUAAAAAAAAAAAAAAAGUUCAAUGGAAAAAACAAUAAAUCAAAAGAUAAAACAUAUACUUCCCAUGUGACCCUGAAAUUUCACUUGUGUUUUCUCUACUCUGAAUAAAUGAAAACAUCUUCACAGAGGAAAAUGCUAAUGGACAAUGUCACAGACAGUUACUCAGAGCUUGAAAGGAGCCAAGUGGUCUUCAGUGGGUAAAUGUGCAUAUUGUGUCAUGAGCAAAAUGGGCUGGUAUAGCAUCGAGACUGUUGGGGUACUCAUGUUCAACUGUGUUGAUAAAUUUCAAAUGAAUUAGGCUAGAAGCUGAACCUGCCUAAAAGGUUACACGUUAUGUAAUUCCACUUAUAUGACAUUCUGAAAAUGGCAAAGCCUUAACCGAGGGUUGGUGGGGGUUCACAGAGUGUUUGGCUCUGGGAGGAUCUUGGGAUGAAAGCAAGGCAUGAGGGUGUCCUUUGAGAUGUUGGGGUGGUUUCAUAUUCUCAUUGUGGUCAGAUACAAAAAUGUAUACGUGUAUAAAGAUACAAAAAUGUAUACGUGUAUAAAAUUACAGAUAGAUACACAAAAAUAAAUUGCAUUGUUUGU